rnacentral:rRNA from 1 species
CUACGGGUGGCUGCAGUGGGGAAUAUUGCACAAUGGGCGCAAGCCUGAUGCAGCCAUGCCGCGUGUGUGAAGAAGGCCUUCGGGUUGUAAAGCACUUUCAGCGGGGAGGAAGGCGUUAAGGUUAAUAACCUUGUCGAUUGACGUUACCCGCAGAAGAAGCACCGGCUAACUCCGUGCCAGCAGCCGCGGUAAUACGGAGGGUGCAAGCGUUAAUCGGAAUUACUGGGCGUAAAGCGCACGCAGGCGGUCUGUCAAGUCGGAUGUGAAAUCCCCGGGCUCGACCUGGGAACUGCAUUCGAAACUGGCAGGCUAGGGUCUUGGUGAGGGGGGUAGAAUUCCAGGUGUAGCGGUGAAAUGCGUAGAGAUCUGGAGGAAUACCGGUGGCGAAGGCGGCCCCCUGGACAAAGACUGACGCUCAGGUGCGAAAGCGUGGGGAGCAAACAGGAUUAGAUACCCUAGUAGUC